rnacentral:tRNA from 1 species
UUAGGGGUGGUCUAAAAAUAAGAUAAAGGCUUGUCAGGCCUUAGAUGCUAGUUGUCUAGCUUCCUAAG